UACGAAGGGGGCUAGCGUUGCUCGGAAUCACUGGGCGUAAAGGGCGCGUAGGCGGUCAUAUAAGUCAGGGGUGAAAGCCUGUGGCUCAACCACAGAAUUGCCUUUGAUACUGUAUGACUAGAGACCGGAAGAGGUAAGUGGAAUUGCGAGUGUAGAGGUGAAAUUCGUAGAUAUUCGCAAGAACACCAGUGGCGAAGGCGGCUUACUGGUCCGGUUCUGACGCUGAGGCGCGAAAGCGUGGGGAGCAAACAGG
rnacentral:rRNA from 1 species